rnacentral:lncRNA from 1 species
GGGGGAUGUUAACUUUAACGGUCAAUGGUAAAGAGCCUUUUUGAUGUAUUUUAUAUUUUUUGUAAGUUUUUACAAUUUUUAUAAUUUUUUUACUAUUUCUUUUUCUAAUUUUUAAAUGUUUUUAUUAAAACAUAAUAAUUUUUAUAACUUUUAUUAAUUUUUAUUUUUUAUAAUUUUUUGUCACAUUUCAUGCCAUGAUUGUG